rnacentral:rRNA from 1 species
GACGAACGCUGGCGGCGUGCUUAACACAUGCAAGUCGAACGGAAAGGCCCUGCUUUUGCCGGGUUCUCGAGUGGCGAGCGGGUGUGUAACACAUGAGUAUCCUGCCCUUGACUUUGUGAUAUCUUCAGGAGACUGCGGCUAAUACCGGAGAGGAGCUCCUGCUGCAUGGUGGUCGUUGGAACGUUUAGGCGGGUGUGGAUCGACUCGCGGCUUAUCAGCUUGUUGGGUGAGUAGUUGCUUACCCAGGCUUUGACGGGUAGCCUGCGUGGGAGGGUUGCCGGGCACAAGGGGACUGAGAUACGGAGCAGACGGCUAUGGGAGGCAGUAGUGGGGAAUAUUGCACAAUGGGGGGAAGCGUGAUGAAGCAACGCCGCGUGCGGGAAGACGGCCUUCGGGUUGUAAACCGCUGUAGCCUGUGACGAAGCGGGAGUGACGGUAAUGGGUAAAGAAGCACCGGCUAACUACGUG